UUACGGUCAAAUCAUGCUGAAAACACCGGUUCUCGUUAGAUCACCGAAGUUAAGCAUCGUAGAGCCAGGUCAAUACUUAGAUGGGGGACCGCUUGGGAACACCUGGUACUGUAAGC
rnacentral:rRNA from 1 species